GAUGAACGCUGGCGGCGUGCCUAAUACAUGCAAGUCGAGCGAACGGACGAGAAGCUUGCUUCUCUGAUGUUAGCGGCGGACGGGUGAGUAACACGUGGAUAACCUACCUAUAAGACUGGGAUAACUUCGGGAAACCGGAGCUAAUACCGGAUAAUAUUUUGAACCGCAUGGUUCAAAAGUGAAAGACGGUCUUGCUGUCACUUAUAGAUGGAUCCGCGCUGCAUUAGCUAGUUGGUAAGGUAACGGCUUACCAAGGCAACGAUGCAUAGCCGACCUGAGAGGGUGAUCGGCCACACUGGAACUGAGACACGGUCCAGACUCCUACGGGAGGCAGCAGUAGGGAAUCUUCCGCAAUGGGCGAAAGCCUGACGGAGCAACGCCGCGUGAGUGAUGAAGGUCUUCGGAUCGUAAAACUCUGUUAUUAGGGAAGAACAUAUGUGCAAGUAACUGCGCACAUCUUGACGGUACCUAAUCAGAAAGCCACGGCUAACUACGUG
rnacentral:rRNA from 1 species